ensembl:lncRNA
CAAAAUACAGUAAAAGAUCUCCUUGAAUGUUUCAGAUAAAAUGGAAAACAGACUCAUGCAGUAAAUAUUCUUUUAUUGGACAGAAAACUGUGCAGUAUAAUUUACUUGAGAUGUUGAAGAUAUGAGAGCAUUAAACAGGCUGAUGUUUGGAAGAGGCUCUGACAGGAGAGAGAUGAUACAGAAACAUGGCAUCCUUAUAAAAUACUGACACACUUUAUGAACGGACAACUUUUCACAGCUCUUUGAACAUUUAAAUGAGCUGCAUACUUUCCCCACUGAAACCAGCACAAUCCCUCUGUGAUGAAAACAAUAUUUGAACUAAAUGUACUGUGGAUAAAUCAAAGCAUUAUCAAAGUUGUCCGUGGUUCCCUUAUUUUUACAGACUACAGAGAGCUGUCUGUUGUCCCCCUGUUCUCCUCUAUAUCUCUCAGUUGAUGCUGGCUCCUUUUUCUCCUCCUCUUCCUCACACACUGUCCUGGUGUCUCAUCAGGGGUGGAGAGCCUCUGUCACGUCUCACCUUCUCAAUUCUGACUCUGGACACUUGCAGAAGGAAAUCAACCAUGGCAGUUAGCAACUAAAGCAGCACAACUAAAACAGGACACAGGAUCCUGCAGAACAUUGGUCUUUAUAACAAAGGUGACAACUCAGGUUGUUUGAUAUAAGCCUGACAAAAACAGCAGAGAAACAGGAGGAGGACUUCUCCAUCUACUGUCUCUCUCAUUAGUGGUUUAAACAGGGUGAGAGCUCUUUUAAGGACAAACUUCAGCACUGCAUGGUUGAGUCUGUGUCCUCACCACAGUUCGCGGGCCACAUAUUUGGUGAACCGUCUCAUACAUGCCAACCCUCCCGACUUUUCCGGGAGAAUCCCGCAUUUCAGAGCCCCUCCUGAAAACCUCCCGGAGCCACCAUUCUCCCGAAUUUCUCCCGAAUUUCAACCCGGACAACAAAAUUGAAAAAACAUAUGGCAGAAUUCAUAGCGCGGCCCAGCCAAUUCCAGUUUCCAACAAUGGCGGCAGCUUGUAGUUUUAAUAUUACUCUUAUUUCUCUUUCUGGGUCACAAAAUAAACUUUUAAACUAUUUUCAGGCGAGAAUGUAGCUGUGUAAACUUCAAAUCUCUGAGACGGCGAGAACACCGGACUCCCGGCACAUCGUUUUCAACCCCCCGCGGUCUUUCGCUACUCGGGUUAAACAGGAUAUAUAAGUCACUUCGAUAACUUCAAAAUGUUCUUGUUUGGCUUUUCCAGUGUUUUACUUGUUCGUGAGUAAAUCGUUUUGGCUGAGAUUAAAGUUACUCGAUUCGAUUAAAUGUAACUUUAUUAAUCCCUCGGGAGGGGUCCUCUGGGGUUUUCACAAAGCUGAAUAAACGUCAAACAGAAAACUGAUUAAACAAAGUGUGAGACGGUGGAGAAUUGACGCCAGCGCCCGGUUAUAUUUUAGACAGCAAGGAGCAGACGCAGUUUCACUCCACCGAGGGAGCUCGUGACGUACUACGCGGCUUUCUUUAGACCGCGAAGGCCGGGUCCUCAGGUGGAAGCAGCCUCUGAAUUUGGACACCCCCGCUGUUUCCGGCCAGCCAAUAAUAACGGUGACAUUUAACGUAUUUUGUCGAAUAAAUAAACACUGUAAAAUAUAUUUGCCCCCCCCCAACAGCCCUUUGAAUGUUGGCAAGUAUGAGCCGUCUGCUCGGUGUUUCCUAAAACGUUAAAGCACGUUUGGCUUCACACUGACAAACAGACCCAGCUUCGGCACAAACCUAAACUAACUAACCGACCAAAGAGCCGCGUUAAGUGGCGAUAUCACUAACGUCACGUAACUUAGCCGAAGGUUAGCUAAAUUUGACUUUGUAAGACUUUUUCAUUAUGCUAACAUUUGUGAUAUGACUGCACUAUGCUGCUGUUGUUGACUCCACCUAAUUCUACAAUUCUUUCAUUAUGCUAACAUGUGUCCUGGUGUAUAUAUGAAGUGGGAUAAAAACCCAGAACUAACUUUUAAGAGUUUAUUUCUUCUCCGCUUCGACCGUCGGCCAUUUCCCCAAAACGUCCUCCAACCUAUGAUUCCAAUGAAUCCUGGUGGGUCACGAACUGCUUUUAAGCAUCUUGUCAUCGUCGUUCCAACAGAGCGUGUUUGUUUUGAUUCGUAGACCCCGAAAAUGGUGCCGGGCUCCCACAAUGCAUUGCGGCGUGCCGUCAACUCCAAAGCGUCAUUCAAAUCUGUGAGCGCGGGCAAGGAACGCCGCCUCUCCGCGUGCGUUUCUUGUGACGUCACUGGCAGAUCAAAGGCGUUCGCGCUUGCUGUGACCUGUCAGUAACGUCACAGACAACCGAGCCUAUAAAUAACGGCUCUCAGACAGAAAAAUCAGAACUGAUGCUCAUCUGUUUGCAAAACGUUCAGCAGUCGGCGCUCUGUAAUACAAGAAAAUUCUCACACGCUCAGACGAAGAAAAUCAAAUUUGUGACACAACAAUGGAAACAUUAAAUGAAAAUUCAAUGGUGGUCACACCAGACCAGAUUAUCCCGCCAAUCAACAGGUGCUUUGAAAGGCUCUCUGAAGUUCAGUGGAGCAUUAUAGAAAAUGGAAAAUGCGACUCCAGCAUCCAUGCCGUGCUCGCUGAAAUGAUUUCUGAAAUCAUUCAGAUCGCCUCUGCCAGCAUCCUGGAAAUAGCCCUUCCUGUUAUUCAGGAACCCAUGAUAAGGGAAGAGCUUAUGGAUGAGGGGAAAAUAAGGGUGUCCCUCGGAGACUCGAUCUCAGCUGCCAUCGCCGGCGCUCUUAAUGUCUCAAAACAGCAAGAUAAGAGCGCUGACAAGCUGACGCUGAUGGUUGAGGAAGAGAUCUCAGAAAAGGUCAGCUCAACCAUUGCACUGAUUGAAAAAAGCCCCGAUUUCCCAGUAGACCCUGCCGUUUAUGUUAGCGGCAAAUUUAGUAGUAUUAAGAAACUACACCGCAUGGUUUGUUGCGCUGCCUCAUGCCUGAAAAGGUAUGCAGCAUGUAAGCUGCGCUGCCAGUGUGGGACAAAUGGGUCUCAUUCCAGUACAGAACGUACUGGUUCAAAAAUAUCAGUGCAAUCAGCAAUCGCAGAGAUUUCUGUUAUUCUGUCAACAAGGAGCUCAGAUGGAGAGAUGACAGGAAAAGAUAAAGAUGAGGUCCCAGAAGAAUCAGCUGUAACAGCACAAAGCAAAAUAAAACCCACUGCAGAAACACAAAGUAUCCAGGCUCCAACCCCAGUAGAAAUGGUUGCAGCUGACAUCGUAGGUGAGAUACUUGCUAACAUGGAUUCAAGCAGUGAAGAGCUCUGUGAGAAAUGUAACUUACCCAAACCUGCCUUUAAUGCAGGCUUAAUUAUCCACAAGGUGAGACACUUCUUCUCCAAAUGUGUGCCAUCCACCUCACAUGCCAGGCUCAAAGCACGCAAACACAACUUUUCCAUGUUUGCAAAAAAACAAUUUGAAAAAAUGAAAACAGAGCUGAAAAAAAGAAUAAAGGCAAACAGGAAACAUUUUGUUUGUCUACAAAACAUUUGCAGCCACCCCAAGAAGGAAACUGCGCCCUCCAAUGAAAGUAUAGUUUUCAUUCUCCCAGGGUCAGUACCUGAAACGGCUGCUCCCCAGAGUACAGAGGCUCAUCGCUCCCCUUCUCGACAUACGGCAAGCCUGGGAACCGCAAUUAAACGUUCUUCUUCAGUCGACUUUAACGUCAUUAGAUCAGACGUUAAUCAGUUAUUUGACAAAUUAACAAAGAAAGAAGAACUCUUCCUCAUCGAUAAGACCUUGGGGGACUUUAAAAAUAGUGGGCAUAUCAGGAAUUUUACGGAGGACUUAGUGGCAAACCUGUUUGAUCUACUUACGGUGGAUCGAGGCUAUCAAAUCCCCAUACCUCUAAUGGGUAGGUCCCUCUCAGACACGGUCAUCUCCAGGACGCCACAAUCAGUAGAGGGCUCAAAGCGUCGCAUUUCAUCUGAAGUCCUCUAUGUCCUCAUAGAUGACACAGUAGAAAGGUUUUUGCAGAAGCUUUUACUCUGGGUGGAGAAUGAAGAGAAAGAUCAAAUUGUUCAAAUGGACAAGAUUUCUGGGGCCCUGGAAGACAUCCACAACUUUAUUAAAAGAACACAGACCACAACACAGGAGAAAAGCCCUGCUUCAGAUGGCAGAGGAAAAGAAUCUGAUGCAUCACUUCCAACACCAAAACCUGGGAGCAUUUCUCCAGAAAAAUGCUCUGUGGCAUCUGAAAAACCACCUCGAACGCCAAAAACUGGGAGCAUUUCUCCAGGUAGAUGCUCUGUGGCAUCUGAAAAACCACCUCAAAUGCCAAAAACUGGGAGCAUUUCUCCAGGUAGAUGCUCUGUGGCAUCUGAAAAACCACCUCGAACGCCAAAAACUGGGAGCAUUUCUCCAGAAAAAUCAUCUGGAGCCUUGAGCCUGAAACACUCUCUCAAAGAUUCCUCCAAAAUAUCAGAGAUGGAUUCUGUGUCAGGUUCAUCUUCUGAUGUUGAGAAA